GGGCGGGUAGCUCAGCUGGGAGAGCAAUGCCCUUACAAGGCAUGGGUCGCAGGUUCGAUCCCUGUCCCGCCUACCA
rnacentral:tRNA from 1 species